CGAGGCGACAGACAUCGACGCCGAUGACGGC
rnacentral:sRNA from 1 species